GACGAACGCUGGCGGCGUGCUUAACACAUGCAAGUCGAACGGAAAGGCCCUGCUUUUGUGGGGUGCUCGAGUGGCGAACGGGUGAGUAACACGUGAGUAACCUGCCCUUGACUUUGGGAUAACUUCAGGAAACUGGGGCUAAUACCGGAUAGGAGCUCCUGCUGCAUGGUGGGGGUUGGAAAGUUUCGGCGGUUGGGGAUGGACUCGCGGCUUAUCAGCUUGUUGGUGGGGUAGUGGCUUACCAAGGCUUUGACGGGUAGCCGGCCUGAGAGGGUGACCGGCCACAUUGGGAAUGGGGUACGGGCCAGACUCCUACGGGGGGCAGGAGUGGGGAAAAUUGCACAAAGGGGGGAAGCCUGAUGCAGGAACGCCGCGUGCGGGAUGAAGGCCUUCGGGUUGUAAACCGCUUUCGGCUGUGAAGAAGGGGUAGUGACGGUAAUGGGUAAAGAAGCAACGGCUAACUACGUG
rnacentral:rRNA from 1 species